rnacentral:lncRNA from 1 species
GGGGGGAGGAUGACCUCUGGAGCAGCCCCCUGCUCUAUAUGUCACAAUGCCUUCCCUCUCCCCUGGCAGUGUAUGCCCCCAGAAUGGCAGGCCCGAUAGGGAGGAGGUGAGGAGUGGGGAGGUUGGGGAGGGAGAAGAGGAAAACAGGACUUCACAGUAAUGACUGUGUUCCAACAGAGCUGGCCAGAAUUUUGCUUGUUCCCUGUGUUUGGCAAGGAGCUAAUCUGGGGUCUCUCAAGCUGCCUGCCAUUCAGGAUCCCUGUCAAUACAGAUCGAAUGGGUCCAGCUGGGGGCCGGAGCCUGGAAGCUGGGGAGGGUCCUGAGCUUUUGGAGGGCCAUGGAGCACCUUUGAGGAGUUCACUCACAUUCUUGGAUGGGGCCCUGGGCCUUGGUAUACUCGGACUUGGUGCUCGUCUGGUCCUGGCCCUGGCUGGUCCAGCCAUGAUGCUUUUGCUGCUGUUUCUGAUGUUGAGUUUCCUGACCUUUGAUCUUUUGCAUGGACCCCAGGACUUGCCUCUGCCUCAAAGACCAACUUUUAGACCCCUUGGCCCAGGAGGGGGUGGUGAAGGCCCCCGCUUGCAAGAACCGCUGCUCCCUCCUGUCCUGAGCCAAAUCUUGGAUGGAUUCCUGCUCUUCACAGGCCUAGGCCUCAUCUUUGGGGCGCUGAUGCCCUUCAGUAUCUUUAGCCUUAUAGUCAGCCUACAGGCGCUGGCCUGAAACAAAGCCCUCUGUUCUGUGGAAACCAGAAGGCUUUAAGAGCCUCCUCACCGAAAUACACGAGGAUUGACUAAAUUCUGCCUCUGAAUUUCCUUUCCUGUUCCCCUCCGGGCCGUUCUGGGGUGAAAGGCCCCAAAUUAGUUCCAGGUCCCAGAGAUUGAGAACUAAAGGCUCUGGAGUCACAGUGGACUUUAGUCUACUCAGUAACCUAAACCUUGGACCUAAAGGUCUAACCCCAAUGAUGCUGCAAGGAACCCUCUACCAUACAACUAGAGCCUUAGAAUUUAUAAUAAAAAAAAG